rnacentral:rRNA from 1 species
CCUACGGGAGGCAGCAGUGGGGAAUUUUGGACAAUGGGCGAAAGCCUGAUCCAGCAAUGCCGCGUGAGUGAAGAAGGCCUUCGGGUUGUAAAGCUCUUUUGUCAGGGAAGAAACGGUGAAAGCUAAUAUCUUUUGCUAAUGACGGUACCUGAAGAAUAAGCACCGGCUAACUACGUGCCAGCAGCCGCGGUAAUACGUAGGGUGCAAGCGUUAAUCGGAAUUACUGGGCGUAAAGCGUGCGCAGGCGGUUUUGUAAGUCUGAUGUGAAAUCCCCGGGCUCAACCUGGGAAUUGCAUUGGAGACUGCAAGGCUAGAAUCUGGCAGAGGGGGGUAGAAUUCCACGUGUAGCAGUGAAAUGCGUAGAUAUGUGGAGGAACACCGAUGGCGAAGGCAGCCCCCUGGGUCAAGAUUGACGCUCAUGCACGAAAGCGUGGGGAGCAAACAGGAUUAGAUACCCUGGUAGUCCACGCCCUAAACGAUGUCUACUAGUUGUCGGGUCUUAAUUGACUUGGUAACGCAGCUAACGCGUGAAGUAGACCGCCUGGGGAGUACGGUCGCAAGAUUAAAACUCAAAGAUAGUGCGNGAGAGAGCGACGACGGACGACGACGGAGGAGGAG